GAUGAACGCUGGCGGCGUGCCUAAUACAUGCAAGUAGAACGCUGAAGGAGGAGCUUGCUCUUCUGGAUGAGUUGCGAACGGGUGAGUAACGCGUAGGUAACCUGCCUGGUAGCGGGGGAUAACUAUUGGAAACGAUAGCUAAUACCGCAUGACAACAGUUAUUGCAUGAUAACUGUUUAAAAGGGGCUACUGCUCCACUACCAGAUGGACCUGCGUUGUAUUAGCUAGUUGGUGAGGUAACGGCUCACCAAGGCGACGAUACAUAGCCGACCUGAGAGGGUGAUCGGCCACACUGGGACUGAGACACGGCCCAGACUCCUACGGGAGGCAGCAGUAGGGAAUCUUCGGCAAUGGACGGAAGUCUGACCGAGCAACGCCGCGUGAGUGAAGAAGGGUUUCGGAUCGUAAAGCUCUGUUGUAAGAGAAGAACGAGUGUGAGAGUGGAAAGUUCACACUGUGACGGUAUCUUACCAGAAAGGGACGGCUAACUACGUG
rnacentral:rRNA from 1 species